rnacentral:rRNA from 1 species
AUUGAACGCUGGCGGCAGGCCUAACACAUGCAAGUCGAGCGGAGCGGCGGACGGGUGAGUAAUGCCUAGGAAUCUGCCUGGUAGUGGGGGAUAACGUCCGGAAACGGGCGCUAAUACUGCAUACUUUCAGGUUAGCCUAUGUCGGAUUAGCUAGAUGGUGGGGUAAAGGCCUACCAAGGCGACGAUCCGUAACUGGUCUGAGAGGAUGAUCAGUCACACUGGAACUGAGACACGGCCCAGACUCCUACGGGAGGCAGCAGUGGGGAAUAUUGGACAAUGGGCGCAAGCCUGAUCCAGCCAUGCCGCGUGUGUGAAGAAGGCCUUCGGAUUGUAAAGCACUUUAAGCUGGGAGGCGUUACCCGCAGAAGAAGCACCGGCUAACUCCGUGCCAGCCGCCGCGGUAAUAC